rnacentral:tRNA from 1 species
UCCCUAGUGGCUCAGCUGGUAAAGAAUCUGCCUACAAUGCAGGAGACCUGGGUUCAAUCCCUGGGUUGGGAA